UACGUAGGUGGCAAGCGCUGUCCGGAUUUAUUGGGUUUAAAGGGUGCGUAGGCGGUCUAUUAAGUCAGUGGUGAAAUAUCGCAGCUUAACUGUGAGGGUGCCAUUGAUACUGAUGGACUUGAGUGAAGUCGAGGUAGGCGGAAUUGACGGUGUAGCGGUGAAAUGCUUAGAUAUCGUCAAGAACACCAAUAGUGAAGACAGCUUACUAGGCUUAUACUGACGCUGAGGCACGAAAGUGUGGGGAUCAAACAGG
rnacentral:rRNA from 1 species